rnacentral:rRNA from 1 species
CCUACGGGAGGCAGCAGUGAGGAAUAUUGGUCAAUGGUCGGGAGACUGAACCAGCCAAGCCGCGUGAGGGAGGAAGGUACAGAGUAUCGUAAACCUCUUUUGUCAGGGAACAAAGACUGGGACGCGUCCCCGGAUGAGUGUACCUGAAGAAAAAGCAUCGGCUAACUCCGUGCCAGCAGCCGCGGUAAUACGGAGGAUGCGAGCGUUAUCCGGAUUUAUUGGGUUUAAAGGGUGCGCAGGCGGUCUGUUAAUUCAGCGGUAAAAGCCCGGGGCUCAACCCCGGCCCGCCGUUGAAACUGGGGAUCUUGAGUGGGCGAGAAGUAUGCGGAAUGCGUGGUGUAGCGGUGAAAGGCAUAGAUAUCACGCAGAACUCCGAUUGCGAAGGCAGCAUACCGGCGCCCGACUGACGCUGAGGCACGAAAGCGUGGGGAUCGAACAGGAUUAGAUACCCUUGUAGUC